ACACUUGCACUCUCUCCUUUUCCUCCCAACGGAGUCCGACACGGGCAGGCCUCCGUUCCGCGAUCCUCCGCCGCCGUCCGCCCCGGUCGGCCGCUACCAAUCCACCGGGAUCCGGCGCUGCGCCGCGCCUCGCCGAUGAGCAUGCCCGUCGCAGAGCCCGGGGCUGCUUCACCUCCGAACGCUGCCAUUUCCCUCCGAACGCUGCCAUUUCUCCGGGCUGCGCCGCCCAACUGCCAUCUAUCACCCGCUGCCCUGCCCACCCACGGCUCUAUCAUUGGCGCCCCUCACUCACCACCCUCCCGGUGAGCCCCACUCCACCAACAGCGCCACCCCGCUCCUCAGCCCCACCUCCACCAGCGAACUGCUGCUCCGAUCAACAUCGACAGUGGGCUAUUAGGCAACGGGAGGAUUCGCGGCAUGCUUGGCGGUCUCGGUGUCGGAUGCCAUCGCGAGUUUGCCUUGGCUGUACAACGCUGUUGGUAGCCUGGUCAGCAUAGGCAUCACGGCCGACGGAGGGAGAAGCAACAGCUCGUCCACCUACAAUAUUGUCUCUGUUUGGAAUAAGAAUUGUUUGAACCAGUCCAUUUUUUGAUAUGGUAGACUACAACUGGGUAAGGAACUAUGAUUCUGCGAUUGAGAGGACGGCAAUGUGGAUGAUCUGAUGUAGUGUUGCUGUGAACCCUGUUAACGCCGUCAUCAUCCUCCGUAACACACAUACAGCAACACACACAACAACCUAAGUCGCCGCCUACUCCGCUAGGUAUUUGUGCCCUCCUUGCCUCUCUCUGUUUAUCUUUAACUGAGAGAGCUAUGGGCACCCAAGGUCUAAUAUACCUUUUGUAUUCUUACAUAGUGUUGCUGUGAACCCUGUUAACGCCGUCAUCAUCCUCCGUAACACACAUACAGCAACACACACAACAACCUAAGUCGCCGCCUACUCCGCUAGAGAUGAGGAUAUCCACUCUCUUUUGGAAAGGAGAAGGGAGGGCAUAGAGAAUCAAAACAAAGGAAUGUAACCCUCAACUCAUUACAUUUUUUCUUCAACAACUAGCAUUGUUGCUGGAAGGCACAAAAACUAUAUCUUUUUAGUAGAACAUCUAUUCUUAUUAUUAGCCUCUCACCUGUAGCAGUACAUACAAAUAAAUUCCUAGUGGUAGGCAAAACUAUGUGAAUCCCCUUAAAAUCUAACAAAAUGGUCCGUGAUGUGGUACAGGAAACCUGCUCUCUCAAUAUGAAGAUUAUCCCUAUCCAAGAAAGCAGGAAUGAGAGGUGGAGACACCCAGAUUAUCGAAGUUAAUGUUGAUGUGGCAUUCUCAGGUGCUAAUGCUUGUGCGAUCACAUGGGUAAUUGCAAGAUAUACUGGAGGUGGAAGAAUGGCCUGAUCCUGCCUUCGAAUCUGAUUGGCAUGCACUGGUGGAGAUGUGGAACUCAAGAAAAUAGAACAGAUCAGAGCUUAUGGGUCGUCUCUUGUGUAAAAUUUGGAGAUUAUGGGUCUCUUGUGUGAUACUGAGGAGCUGGGCCAUGAUUUUGUUCAUUACUGUCUUUUAUUAGCAGAGGCACUAAUUUCUAUGUAUGCAUGUGUGCAAAACUGCCCCUGCAACUUACUGACCUGAGGCUGUGGCGUAAUGCCGCUCCAAAUUAAUUUGCCUUUUUUCCAAACUCCUUGGAUUGUAAAAAAACUCCUUCAAAUCUGUUGGUGUUAACAUUUUACUUCAGAACAUUGGUUCAAUGUCAUUGAUAUUUUUAUGA